rnacentral:tRNA from 1 species
GGACAGAUGGGUGAGCUGGCUGAAACCACACCCCUGCUAAGGGUGCAAGUCUUAAUCGGGCUUCGAGGGUUCGAAUCCCUCUCUGUCCGCCA